AGUAUUGGAUACUGAAAGUUCUAUUAAUAUUUAUAAUUCAUUGUAUAGACUUCAGAUUAGUAGGAGGUUUGAAGAUGGUGAGAGAUUUCUGAAUAUUAGAGAUGGAAGAUCUAUUCCAAUUCUAGCUUUAGGAAUUGUCAUGCUUGUUUUCAAAUCUAAUAUUAUUGUUUUGAAUGAUUGUCACUUUUGUCCAUCUUUUUUAUUGAAUGUAAUUUAUGUAGGCC
rnacentral:lncRNA from 1 species